rnacentral:rRNA from 1 species
CCCGCCUGGGGAGUACGGCCGCAAGGCUGAACUCAAAGGAAUUGACGGGGGCCCGCACAAGCGGUGGAGUAUGUGGUUUAAUUCGACGCAACGCGAAGAACCUUACCAAGCCUUGACAUUGAUCGCGAGGGAUAGAGAUAUCCUGUUCCUCUUCGGAGGACGAGAAAACAGGUGGUGCACGGCUGUCGUCAGCUCGUGUCGUGAGAUGUUGGGUUAAGUCCCGCAACGAGCGCAACCCCUAUCUUCUGUUACCAGCACGUUAAGGUGGGGACUCAGGAGAGACUGCCGCAGACAAUGCGGAGGAAGGCGGGGAUGACGUCAAGUCAUCAUGCCCCUUAUGGCUUGGGCUACACACGUACUACAAUGGCUCUUAAUAGAGGGAAGCGAAAGGGCGACCUGGAGCAAACCCCAAAAACAGAGUCCCAGUUCGGAUUGCAGGCUGCAACCCGCCUGCAUGAAGGAGGAAUCGCUAGUAAUCGCAGGUCAGCAUACUGCGGUGAAUACGUUCCCGGGCCUUGUACACACCGCCCGUCACACCACGAAAGUCAUUCACACCCGAAGCCGGUGAGGCAACCGCAAGGAACCAGCCGUCGAAGGUGGGGGCGAUGAUUGGGGUGAAGUCGUAACAAGUAAC